rnacentral:rRNA from 1 species
GAUGAACGCUGGCGGCGUGCCUAAUACAUGCAAGUCGAGCGAAGCGGGGACGGGUGAGUAACACGUGGAUAACCUCAUAUAAGACUGGGAUAACUUCGGGAAACCGGAGCUAAACCGGAUACUUAUUAAUGGAUACGCGCUGCAUUAGCUAGUUGGUAAGGUAACGGUUUACCAAGGCAACGAUGCAUAGCCGACCUGAGCGGGUGAUCGGCCACACUGUGACGGAGACACGGUCCAGACUGCUACGGGAGGCAGGCGUAGGGAAUCUUCCGCAAUGGGCGAAAGCCUGACGGAGCAACGCCGCGUGAGUGAUGAAGGUCUUCGGAUCGUAAAACUCUGUUAUUAGGGAAGCGGUACCUAAUCAGAAAGCCACGGCUAACUACGUGCCAGCAGCCGCGGUAAUUC